rnacentral:ribozyme from 1 species
UGCCCAGCAACUCCUAUCCCUACCUCCUCGUGGUACUGGCCGGGGUACGAGUAACCUUGGGGAAGAUCGGGUAACCAACCCCGGUGGAAAUUUUGGUCGUAUGCUGACAGGGAAGG